CCUGCCAUUAGAGGCCUUGAAAGUGUGGCUGCUGUGCCACAUGUGCUUGAAUAGGUGACAGAGAAGAAAGAGGUUAUGUCUGUGCUCGGUAUUCUGACCUAUGAAUAUCUGAAUAAUUGCUAGCCUAACUAG